CACAGAGCACAUAUUAUUUACAAUUUAUAUAGUAAUUAUAAUGCAAGGAAAUAAAAUUUAGUAUCGAUCGCCAUCGACUCGCGAAGAAGAAGACUUAAAGUUUUAAUUGACUGACCAAUUUAAUUAUAAUUUAGUCUAUAUGUAUAUGGUUUUGUACAACAGUUGCUAAUAUGAAAAUGAAUUCUAAGUUUGACAAAGUGUUGGGCAGAUUAAAAACUUUUAAGACCACUUUUUUUACAGAAGUUACUUGUACCUGACCUAACCAAAAACGAUAACCCUACUUAUAAUCAUAAUCAUCUUAACCUCAUAAUGCCAAAGCAUAAUUACGAUUUCGAAGUAAUAAACGACAGUGGUACCUUGAAAAGGACCAAAUUUUUGUAGUUGUAAAGGCCGAGCACUUCAAGUACAAAUUUUAAAGUGUUAGAGUUAUCCGACCGGGUUCAAAUUAAGUGGAGACCUAUGUAAGCAUGAAUAGAAGACAUUUGUGAAAAACUUCCGUUUUUUUUUUAGUUAAUUUGACAUGGUACCAAAAUGUAUGCAUAUUUUAUGCUCGUGACUGUAAUUGUCUAGAAUAUUAUUAUAUCUUGUUCAUUCCUGCGGAUGGGGGUGGCCUCUGCAGUAGUGGGAUAUUUAUAAUUUAUUGUUAACCCUACCUACUUAUUUAUUGUUUUUAUUAUUUAAUUUCUAUUGUGCGUGUGGGACUCAAUCUACUACAACGUCAAAGACUCAAUACUUUUGAACUAUAACUUAGCACCAAACUCGAUUUGAUUUAACCACGAUGUUAAUGUGACCUUAACAAAGUAAGUG